GUCAUACUACGGUGCAUUAAGGGAAAAAGUAAACGAUGACCCCUAAGGAACUCUACGGUAAAAUACGUAUCAAAAUGCAAAACCGAACCUGACUCGGGCACCUGGCCCGUGUCAGGCUUCU
rnacentral:sRNA from 1 species